rnacentral:rRNA from 1 species
CACCGUGGCGACGAUGCGUAGGGGUUCUGAGAGGAAGGCCCCCCACACUGGGACUGAGACACGGCCCAGACUCCUACGGGAGGCAGCAGUGAGGAAUAUUGGUCAAUGGGCGGAAGCCUGAACCAGCCAAGUCGCGUGAGGGAUUAAGGCCCUGCGGGUCGUAAACCUCUUUUGCCGGGGAGCAGUGGUCCGGACGCGUCCGGGCCGGGAGAGUACCCGGAGAAAAAGCAUCGGCUAACUCCGUGCCAGCAGCCGCGGUAAUACGGAGGAUGCGAGCGUUAUCCGGAUUUAUUGGGUUUAAAGGGUGCGUAGGCGGGCAUUUAAGCCGGCGGUCAAAUGUCGGGGCUCAACCCCGGCCUGCCGUCGGAACUGGGUGCCUUGAGUGGGCGAGAAGUAUGCGGAAUGCGUGGUGUAGCGGUGAAAUGCAUAGAUAUCACGCAGAACCCCGAUUGCGAAGGCAGCAUACCGGCGCCCGACUGACGCUGAGGCACGAAAGUGCGGGUAUCGAACAGGAUUAGAUACCCUGGUAGUCCGCACAGU